UUCAAUGGAUCAAUACCUACAAGUUUCUCUCGGCUUCCUCUUGUUAACCUGUCCCUUUUGGGGAACCGUCUAUCUGGAUCAAUUCCUAAGGAAAUCGGUGAUAUUGCUACACUUGAGGAGCUGAUCUUGGAAGAUAAUCAACUAGAAGGACCACUUAAUGAAAACCUUGGAAAUUUGGGCCGUUUGAG